rnacentral:rRNA from 1 species
GAUGAACGCUGGCGGCGUGCUUAACACAUGCAAGUCGAACGGAAAGGCUCCUGCUUGCAGGGGUACUCGAGUGGCGAACGGGUGAGUAACACGUGGGUGAUCUGCCCUGCACUUCGGGAUAAGCCUGGGAAACUGGGUCUAAUACCGGAUAGGACCACAUUUUGGAUGGUGUGGUGGAAAGUUUUUCGGUGUGGGAUGAGCUCGCGGCCUAUCAGCUUGUUGGUGGGGUAAUGGCCUACCAAGGCGUCGACGGGUAGCCGGCCUGAGAGGGUGUACGGCCACAUUGGGACUGGGAGACGGCCCAGACUCCUACGGGAGGCAGCAGUGGGGAAUAUUGCACAAUGGGCGCAAGCCUGAUGCAGCGACGCCGCGUGGGGGAUGACGGCCUUCGGGUUGUAAACUCCUUUCGCUAGGGACGAAGCGCAAGUGACGGUACCUGGAGAAGAAGCACCGGCUAACUACGUG